rnacentral:rRNA from 1 species
ACCCGCACAAGCAGCGGAGCGUGUGGUUUAAUUCGUUGCUACACGAAGAACCUUACCUGGGUUUGACAUAUAGGUUGUAGGGAACUGAAAGGGACCGACCCUUCGGGGAGCCUAUACAGGUGUUGCAUGGCUGUCGUCAGCUCGUGUCGUGAGAUGUUCGGUUAAGUCCGCUAACGAGCGCAACCCUCGUCGUAUGUUAUAUGUGUCAUACGAGACUGCCGGUAAAAGCCGGAGGAAGGUGAGGAUGAUGUCAAGUCAGCAUGACCUUUAUAUCCAGGGCUACACACACGCUACAAUGGUCUGUACAAUGGGUAGCCAAGCCGCGAGGCGGAGCCAAUCCUGAAAGCAGGCCUCAGUUCAGAUUGCAGUCUGCAACUCGACUGCAUGAAGCCGGAGUUGCUAGUAACCGCAGGUCAGCAAUACUGCGGUGAAUACGUUCCCGGGUCUU